GACGAACGCUGGCGGCGUGCUUAACACAUGCAAGUCGAACGGAAAGGCCCUGCUUGCAGGGUACUCGAGUGGCGAACGGGUGAGUAACACGUGGGUGAUCUGCCCUGCACUUCGGGAUAAGCCUGGGAAACUGGGUCUAAUACCGGAUAGGAGCCAUUUUUAGUGUGAUGGUUGGAAAGUUUUUUCGGUGUAGGAUGAGCUCGCGGCCUAUCAGCUUGUUGGUGGGGUAAUGGCCUACCAAGGCGGCGGCGGGUAGCCGGCCUGAGAGGGUGGACGGCCACAUUGGGACUGAGAUACGGCCCAGACUCCUACGGGAGGCAGCAGUGGGGAAUAUUGCACAAUGGGCGCAAGCCUGAUGCAGCGACGCCGCGUGGGGGAUGACGGCCUUCGGGUUGUAAACUCCUUUCGCUAGGGACGAAGCUUUUUGUGACGGUACCUAGAGAAGAAGCACCGGCUAACUAUGUG
rnacentral:rRNA from 1 species